GAAUAUUGCUCGGUAAAUGUUGGGAUUGUUAUUGCGAGACUGCCGGGAACCGCGCGCGCGCGGCGCGUGACGUCCUGAAGAGGGAGCCGUUGCCAGCAUCCUUCCAAGCUCAGCAUCACUUUCAGCCCAUCAUCCUCCCACCUGAGCCGGUACUUUUGGUUAAACGGAAGUGUCCCGGUUGUGUUUGCGAUGCGGGGGGGAUUUGAGAGCAGCAGGGACCUCUCGGUAUCUGGUUCGGAGGAGGUGGUAAACCGUUCCGUCCGUGUUGUUAGUGGCUGCAGAUGCUAAGGUCAUGCUAGCUAAGGGAUUUACAUGACGUGAACGCAUCCUAAUGUUCUCCAUUUGAGCUAAAAGAUGCUUUUUGGGUCUAAAUAUGUUGUACAAAAGAAUUGAACUGUGUGCAUAAAGAAAUAUUUUAUUUUAGUGUGUCACUUUUGACCCCAACUUGUCUGAAAAAGCUCCCCUGACCUCCAGGGAAGAAGCCUCACGCCCACAUGGGCAGUGUUUUGGCUUUGUCGUCCAAUCCAGGCCAUCAGAACUGGCCUUUCUCCACAGAACCCCCCCUGUCCCGCUGGGACACACACCCUGCUCACUGGGACAGUCCUCCCCGCUGGGAGAGGAAAGAUGGACGCCUCCCCAACCCUGGCAGCUUCCACUCCCUCCACAGGAGUUGCAAAGACGUGUUUCCCCAUCAGAUUGAAGGUGUUAAGAUGAUCAUCAACAAAACCUUAAGCAGCUUCUUCAAGGUGAGCCACAGCGUCCACCUCAGUGCCGUAAGUCCUUCCUACUAUCGCUUCCACGUGGAGCACUUGCAGUCGGAUGACUACAGCAAGGACAAGGAGGCGCCGGCACUGAUCGGUGAGAUGGACUCAUCGGGGAGUUUGAACGCUCACGCUCUGUUGCACCUUACCGAGCGGGUUCGAGCCAGAACUGUGUUUCAGACUCAGCAGUCCCAGUUUGUGACCUGGCAGUUUGAAACCGAGUACAGAGGCAGCGACUUCACGGCUGCCGUGACCGUGGCCAACCCUGACAUCCUCAGGGAGUCAGUCAUUCUUGUGGCACACUUUCUACAGAGCGUUUCCUCUGGACUUGUUCUGGGCGGCGAGCUGGUCUACCAUCGAGGCCGAGCAGAAGAAGGAGGAAUUCUGACUCUGGCUGGACAAUAUUCAAGACCAAACUGGGUUGCGACGCUCAACGCCGGUAAAGGCGGUGCUCACGCCAGCUACUAUCACCGAGCCAACAAGCAGAUCCAAGUCGGGGUGGAGUUUGAAGCCACUACCAGGACACAGGAAACCACCACCUCAUUCGGGUACCAAAUGGAACUCCCCGAGGCCAACAUGGUCUUCAGAGGUAUGAUAAACAGUCGGUGCAUAAUCGGAGGUGUACUAGAGAAGCGCUUGUUGCCGCUGCCUGCCACCCUCAUCAUGGGGGCUUUCGUAAAUCACAGAGGAGACAAGCUGCAGCCUCAGGGAUUUACUCCUCUGGAGUCCAAAGGCGCCGUUUCUGUCCUGCCGGGGCUCCUCAUGCUGCGCCACCUGCUGACUGAUCACGUGCCGCAUGUCCUCCUGGGGAGAAGCCGCAGGAAAACAGGAGGAUCAGUCCAGACAGUGGAGUGAGCCAGCAGAGCCUCUUUUGCCUGAUUAUCAGGAGAAAAACAAAACCAAACAAAUGACUUUUGACGUCAGUGGGGACACACCAACACCCGAGCAGAGAUGCUGCCAGCUCCUCGUUCUUCUCCAAUAAGGCCUGGCCCAGUUCUGCAGCCAGGAUAAGAUCCGUCUCCAUCCCUCCUCCACUGUCAACGUUCUCCGGUGAGGAUGAAGGAAGACCAAAGGAGAGGGACCGC